GACGAACGCUGGCGGCGUGCUUAACACAUGCAAGUCGAACGGAAAGGCCCUGCUUUUGUGGGGUGCUCGAGUGGCGAACGGGUGAGUAACACGUGAGUAACCUGCCCUUGACUUUGGGAUAACUUCAGGAAACUGGGGCUAAUACCGGAUAGGAGCUCCUGCUGCAUGGUGGGGGUUGGAAAGUUUCGGCGGUUGGGGAUGGACUCGCGGCUUAUCAGCUUGUUGGUGGGGUAGUGGCUUACCAAGGCUUUGACGGGUAGCCGGCCUGAGAGGGUGACCGGCCACAUUGGGACUGAGAUACGGCCCAGACUCCUACGGGAGGCAGCAGUGGGGAAUAUUGCACAAUGGGCGGGAGCCUGAUGCGGCAACGCCGCGUGCGGGAUGACGGCCUUCGGGUUGUAAACCGCUUUCGCCUAUGACGAAGCGUGAGUGACGGUAAUGGGUAAAGAAGCACCGGCUAACUACGU
rnacentral:rRNA from 1 species